rnacentral:lncRNA from 1 species
AUAAAAGAGAAAGGGUUCAGUGAUAGUAAAAUAUAGUACAAAUAAGUUAAAAACAGCGUCUCAAAAAUGCCAACAGAGUGUGAAAGCUGUACUAAAACAGACUGUUCAUACGGAACGUGGUACAACUGUAAUGUUGAGCAUUACUUUUGUGGAGAUCAUGAUAGCAUGAGUGAAUGUCCAGUCCAUCCGGGCUAUGGCAGGAAAUCCUAGCGAACCCUUUCUCUUUAUACUGUGUUUGAAUUUCACACAAAACUUUAUUACUUACGUGUAACUUAACAAAUAAUUAUUGUUAGCUAUACUUUAUUAUCUCAAAAACUUACUUAUUUCCUUUAUAUUUGUGCUGGAUUGUUUUAUAGAGUA